rnacentral:rRNA from 1 species
UACAGAGGGGGCAAGCGUUAAUCGGAAUUACUGGGCGUAAAGCGCACGCAGGCGGCUUGGUAUGUCGGGUGUGAAAUCCCCGGGCUCAACCUGGGAACUGCAUCCGAAACUGCCUUGCUCGAGUAUGGGAGAGGGAAGUGGAAUUUCCGGUGUAGCGGUGAAAUGCGUAGAUAUCGGAAGGAACAUCAGUGGCGAAGGCGACUUCCUGGACCAAUACUGACGCUCAGGUGCGAAAGCGUGGGGAGCAAACAGG